rnacentral:rRNA from 1 species
UACGAAGGGGGCUAGCGUUGUUCGGAAUGACUGGGCGUAAAGGGCGCGUAGGCGGCUCGCUUAGUCAGGCGUGAAAGCCCUGGGCUCAACCCUGGAAUUGCCUUUGAUACUGGCUGUCUUGAGUACGGGAGAGGUGAGUGGAACUCUGAGUGUAGAGGUGAAAUUCGUAGAUAUUCGGAAGAACACCAGUGGCGAAGGCGAGUCACUGGCCCGUUACUGACGCUGAGGCGCGAAAGCGUGGGGAGCAAACAGG